GACGAACGCUGGCGGCGUGCUUAACACAUGCAAGUCGAACGGAAAGGCCCUGCUUUUGUGGGGUGCUCGAGUGGCGAACGGGUGAGUAACACGUGAGUAACCUGCCCUUGACUUUGGGAUAACUUCAGGAAACUGGGGCUAAUACCGGAUAGGAGCUCCUGCUGCAUGGUGGGGGUUGGAAAGUUUCGGCGGUUGGGGAUGGACUCGCGGCUUAUCAGCUUGUUGGUGGGGUAGUGGCUUACCAAGGCUUUGACGGGUAGCCGGCCUGAGAGGGUGACCGGCCACAUUGGGACUGAGAUACGGCCCAGACUCCUACGGGAGGCAGCAGUGGGGAAUAUUGCACAAUGGGCGGAAGCCUGAUGCAGCAACGCCGCGUGCGGGAUGACGGCCUUCGGGUUGUAAACCGCUUUCGCCUGUGACGAAGCGUGAGUGACGGUAAUGGGUAAAGAAGCACCGGCUAACUACGUGCCAGCAGCCGCGGUGAUACGUAGGGUGCGAGCGUUGUCCGGAUUUAUUGGGCGUAAAGGGCUCGUAGGUGGUUGAUCGCGUCGGAAGUGUAAUCUUGGGGCUUAACCCUGAGCGUGCUUUCGAUACGGGUUGACUUGAGGAAGGUAGGGGAGAAUGGAAUUCCUGGUGGAGCGGUGGAAUGCGCAGAUAUCAGGAGGAACACCAGUGGCGAAGGCGGUUCUCUGGGCCUUUCCUGACGCUGAGGAGCGAAAGCGUGGGGAGCGAACAGGCUUAGAUACCCUGGUAGUCCACGCUGUAAACGGUGGGUACUAGGUGUGGGGUCCAUUCCACGGGUUCCGUGCCGUAGCUGACGCUUUAAGUACCCCGCCUGGGGAGUACGGCCGCAAGGCUAAAACUCAAAGGAAUUGACGGGGCCCCGCACAAGCGGCGGAGCAUGCGGAUUAAUUCGAUGCAACGCGUAGAACCUUACCUGGGUUUGACAUGGAUCGGGAGCGCUCAGAGAUGGGUGUGCCUCUUUUGGGGUCGGUUCACAGGUGGUGCAUGGCUGUCGUCAGCUCGUGUCGUGAGAUGUUGGGUUAAGUCCCGCAACGAGCGCAACCCUUGUUCACUGUUGCCAGCACGUUAUGGUGGGGACUCAGUGGAGACCGCCGGGGUCAACUCGGAGGAAGGUGGGGGUGACGUCAAGUCAUCAUGCCCCUUAUGUCCAGGGCUUCACGCAUGCUACAAUGGCUGGUACAGAGAGUGGCGAGCCUGUGAGGGUGAGCGAAUCUCGGAAAGCCGGUCUCAGUUCGGAUUGGGGUCUGCAACUCGACCUCAUGAAGUCGGAGUCGCUAGUAAUCGCAGAUCAGCAACGCUGCGGUGAAUACGUUCCCGGG
rnacentral:rRNA from 1 species